UUUCCUUGCACAAAAAAAUAAAAUUUAAUAGCGUAAAGUUUGUGUUCUAAAAAUAGUUUUUUUUUCAGUAACGCAAGGCAUUUCGAGACUGAUAUUGCACAGAAACAAAGGAAAUUUCUUAAAAACGCUAGUGGUUUUGGGAUUAAUAUUUGGACAAACGAUCAAUUUUGCGUUACCAAAACGUACUCUAUUUCAAAUAUAUAAAUGAUAAACAGACAAAGCAGAUAUGGACGGCAAAAUACCAACCUAAUUUUUUCAUAGAUAUGAUCAUAACAAUAAUAGUUUUUAGUGGUUACAAAUUAAGUUACGAAAUCAGACAAUCAGGAUACGAAUGUAGAGUAUGAUGUUUUACAAACAGGUACAUGAUAAACAAGCGGAAGAUGAUAUUCUAGGAAGAUUUUUGAUAAUGCAUAAGUCAGAGAAAACAGUGAUUGAAAAUAUUUGUUUAUGAGUUUAUUAA